rnacentral:misc_RNA from 1 species
UGACCACUCAAGCCUGGCUUGGUAUUGGAGCUCGCGGUCUCGCGGCUCUUAAAAUCAGUGGCGGUGCCAUCUGGCUCUAAGCGUAGUAAUUGAUCUCGCUAUUGGGUCCGGUGGUUGCUUGCCAACAACCCCCAACUUCUAA